rnacentral:sRNA from 2 species
AUUUUUCAAGCGCUGAGUUCUCUGUCAGAGAAACGGGGGAACCAAAUUUCCGGGGUGAAUCCACACGGGUGUUUUACUUCGUGCGGUAGGGUUAUCUUUCGACCCGAACCCGUCAGCUAACUUCGUAAGCGUUGAAAGGAGAUGUA